GCGCACCAGGCGAGAAACCUCCGCAAUACACGAAAGUGUGACGGGGCCAUCCCGAGUGCCGUCCGCUGAGGACGGCUUUUCCCCAGUGUACAUAGCUGGGGGAAUAAGGAGAGGGCAAGCCUGGUGUCAGCCGCCGCGGUAAUACCAGCUCUCCGAGUGGUGGGGACGCUUAUUGGGCCUAAAGCAUCCGUAGCCGGCUGGGCAAGUCCUCCGUUAAAUCCAACGAUUCAAUCGUUGGGCUGCGGGGAUACUGUCCAGCUUGGGGGCGGGAGAGGCCGACGGUAUUCCCCGGGGUAGGGGUGAAAUCCUAUAAUCCCGGGAGGACCACCAGUGGCCGAAGGCUGUCGGCUAGAACGCGCCCGACGGUGAGGGAUGAAAGCU
rnacentral:rRNA from 1 species